UACAGAGGCCUCAAGCGUUAGGCGGAAUCACUGGGCUUAAAGCGCGUGUAGGUGGACUUUUAAGUGCUUUGUGAAAUCCCACGGCUCAACCGUGGAACUGCUGGGCAUACUGGAAGUCUUGGGCUAUCGUAGGGGCAACCGGAACAAGCGGUGGAGCGGUGAAAUGCGUAGAUAUCGCUUGGAACGCCAAAGGUGAAGACAGGUUGCUGGAGAUAUGCCGACACUGAGACGCGAAAGCCAGGGGAGCAAACGGG
rnacentral:rRNA from 1 species